AAAACACUAGGUUAAAAAAACUAAGAGCCUUCAAAGCUUUUGAUGAAUAAUAAAUUCGUGUUUUG
rnacentral:tRNA from 1 species